UGCAAGUCGAACGAGAUUAGUAGCAAUACUAUGAAAGUGGCGCACGGGUGCGUAACACGUAUGCAAUCUACCUUUAAUUGGAGGAUAGCCUCGAGAAAUCGGGAUUAAUACUCCAUAACAUUACGAAGUGGCAUCACUAUGUAAUUAAACCUCCGGGGAUUAAAGAUGAGCAUGCGCAACAUUAGCUAGUUGGUAAGGUAAUGGCUUACCAAGGCUACGAUGUUUAGGGGGUCUGAGAGGAUGAUCCCCCACACUGGUACUGAGACACGGACCAGACUCCUACGGGAGGCAGCAGUAGGGAAUAUUGGGCAAUGGAGGCAACUCUGACCCAGCCAUGCCGCGUGCAGGAUGACGGCCCUCUGGGUUGUAAACUGCUUUUAUACGGGAAGAAAAAAUGCUACGUGUAGCACAUUGACGGUACCGUAAGAAUAAGGAUCGGCUAACUCCGUGCCAGCAGCCGCGGUAAUACGGAGGAUCUAAGCGUUGUCCGGAUUUAUUGGGUUUAAAGGGUGCGUAGGCGGAUCUUUAAGUCAGUGGUGAAAGCCUGCAGCUCAACUGUAGAACAGCCAUUGAAACUGAAGAUCUUGAAUAUGGUUAAAGUAGGCGGAAUGUAUCAUGUAGCGGUGAAAUGCUUAGAUAUGAUACAGAACACCGAUAGCGAAGGCAGCUUGCUGAACCAUUAUUGACGCUGAGGCACGAAAGCGUGGGGAGCAAACAGGAUUAGAUACCCUGGUAGUCCACGCCCUAAACGUUGAUUACUCGUUGUUGGCGAUAUACAGUCAGCGACUAAGCUAAAGCGUUAAGUAAUCCACCUGGGAAGUACGACCGCAAGGUUGAAACUCAAAGGAAUUGACGGGGGCCCGCACAAGCGGAGGAGCAUGUGGUUUAAUUCGAUGAUACGCGAGGAACCUUACCUGGGCUUGAAAGUUAGUGACCGCCUCUGAAAGGAGGCUUCU
rnacentral:rRNA from 1 species